rnacentral:snRNA from 1 species
GUGCUCACUUCCGCAGCACAUAUACUAAAAUUGGAACGAUAUAGAGAUUAGCAUGGCCCCUGCGCAAGGAUGACACGCAAAUUCGUGAAGCGUUCCUUAUUUUU